ACUGGGCAGACAGUUUUCCUCUCUAACAAGAAUUCUGCCAUUACUCAAAGGCACGGCCCAGGGCUAGUCCAGGGGAGCCUCUCCCACCACUGUCCCCACAACCUCAUCAGCUCCUCCCCACCCCUAAGUCCUCAUAACCCCUGGAGCACACACAGUGGGCAUUUCCCUGUUUCCUCCUUGAGCGUCUCCACCGAGACCACGGCCCUGAUCUUCCGUCACACACCCUG
rnacentral:lncRNA from 1 species